GUGCUCACUUCGGCAGCACAUAUACUAAAACUGGAAGGAUGCAGAGAAGAUUAGCAUGGCCCUUGCACACAGAUCACAAGGCUUAUUAAAUCAAAAAGGAAGAGGUU
ensembl:snRNA U6 U6 spliceosomal RNA